rnacentral:hammerhead_ribozyme from 1 species
AUCCAAUUGACGAGUCCCAAAUAGGACGAAACGCGUAUCCUAGAU